GGGAGGGGUGUCGCCUGGGCGGGGGAAAACGGGCUCCGGUGUCAGGUAACUAGCGGGUGAGUUGGGAGACCGGCAGGCGCAAGGGCUUGGGGGUAGGCCUGGGGUUGAGGCUUCAGGGGUUUCAGUUCAAGGGUUAGAUCACCGAUCAAACCGAAGACCCCCAGGCUGACACCUCAGUCUCAUUCCUUCCCCACUUGGAGGCCAAGAUCCGUCAGACACACAGCCUUGCCCACCUCCUCACCAAAUAUGCUGAGCAGCUGCUCCAGGAAUAUGUGAGUGAGAAUGGGGGUUGGGGUGUCAAGGGUCUGGGGAUUGGGGAAGCACAGGUCACAGAGGUCCUCCA
rnacentral:lncRNA from 1 species